UUUUUGCGUUAAGGAUAGUAGUGGCAUCCUUUUUUUUGCUGCCAUAUAUGGCAAAAAAAAGAUAUAACGUAUAGCCUGACCUUUA
rnacentral:sRNA from 1 species